rnacentral:lncRNA from 1 species
AUCUGGACUCACUGCAACCUCUGCCUCCUGGCUUCAAGCAAUUCUCAUGCUUCAGCCUGUAGCUGGAACUACAGGUCACUCCCUCUGGAGGAAACCAGCUGCCACUUUGUGAGGAUACUCAUAGUCCUGUGGAGGCAUAUCCUCCAUAUGGCUGAGACCUCCUGCGAACAACCAUCACUGACUUGCCAGACAUGAGUGUGCCACCUUGGAAGCAGAUUUUCCAGCCCCAGUUAAGCCUUCAGAUGACAUCAGCCCCUGCUAAUCUCUUGACUACAACCUCAUGAGAGACCCUGAGCCAGAACUAGCCAGG